CCCGAAGGAGCUGGGUCUAAUCAUAAUCUAAUCAGACUUUUGCUGAAAAUAUAAUCCUCAUGAAAUCAACAGCAGGCAUUCUGACGUUAUGUUUCGUCUUGAGUGUAAACCUAUGCACGCUCACGGCUUUUCCAGCUGAUUUGUGCAGAAUGGAGGCGAUACUAAAACGUGUGAAACAUGAGCUCCAGAAAUUACAAUCAGGCUUAGAUAUUCAUGUUAAACACAACGGUGAGAUCAUCCAUCACCUCAUGAUCAGCAAGUCCCUCCCAACCCCCCAGCAGUACAAGUCAGCUGCGUGUGGCCUCAGCUACAUGGAAAAAG
ensembl:lncRNA